CCUACGGGGGGCAGCAGUGGGGGAUAUUGCACAAUGGGGGGAACCCUGAUGCAGCGACGCCGCGUGGGUGAAGAAGGGCCUCGGCGCGUAAAGCCCUGUCAGCAGGGAAGAAAAGGACGGUACCUGAAGAAGAAGCCACGGAUAACGACGUGCCAGCAGCCGCGGUAAUACGGAGGGGGCAAGCGUUAUCCGGAUUUACUGGGUGUAAAGGGGGCGCAGACGGGGCUGCAAGCCAGGAGUGAACGCCCGGGGCCCAACCCCGGGACUGCGCUUGGAACUGCGUGGCUGGAGUGCAGGAGGGGCAGGCGGAAUUCCUGGUGUAGCGGUGAAAUGCGUAGAUAUCAGGAGGAACACCGGUGGCGAAGGCGGCCUGCUGUACUGCAACUGACGUUGAGGCCCG
rnacentral:rRNA from 1 species